GGCUAAAAAUUAUGGAUGAAUGGUGCAUCAAAACCAAUCAUCUUAUAAUCCAUGGAGCAGCAGAUGCGAAAUUCCCUUGAUGUGAAUCUUUUAAAGGUCUGGGCACAAAUAUAUGGCUCAUACUUGUGUAUUAAUCUCGACUCCUUAGCAAAUUGAGAGAAUGAGAGAAACUUGCCGAGUAAGUUCUUAGCAUCCUCUCUUUCUCAAAAAUGAAAAGGAAAUUUUAUAAGUUCCAUUUGCAUGAGGUAAACCUCUGUCUUAUUAUACUGUUUGUUCAUGGCUUUUAUCAUUACCUUAUCCAAAGUUGCCUUCUACUUUUGCUAAUUUGUCUCUUUCAUUGUGCAAGUGUAUUUGUAGUAGUGGAUAGGAAAGAAUGAAUUUGAUGUGAACAGUAGACAAGGAAGGCUAAUCAAGAUUUGCAUUGUGGAUAGGAAAGAAGGAAUUGACAAUGAUUGGUGGCAAUGAAGAUAAUGAUUCAUAAUUUGUUAUGAUGGCAUUUGAAUUUAAGUCUAUUUUCCUUUUUAUCACCUUUUAGCCAAGUCUUUAUUCAUGUGUGCAUUCUCUUUGCUUCUCUUCCUGGAAUACUCUUUGUUGUGAAUGGGGUUUGUUUUGGUAAUUUGAAAAGUUUUGUGCUGUGGAUGAACAAGAAUUAAGGGCUAAUGUUGAAUUCUUCUAGAAUGCAGUUAUCCACUUUGACAUGCCAUCUCUUUGGUAUUUCUUUAUUUUGUAACCAUAUUCAUUCUUAUCAAAAUUGAAUUAAUUCAAUGUAGGUAGAUUUUUCUAAUGUUCAACUUAUAUCUACUCUGUUUUAGGUUAGAUUUGUUCAACAAAGAUUGGAUUCUACUCUCAUCUAUUCAUUUUAGGCCCUGAUUCUUGAAAUCAAGUGAUUAUUAAGGUCCCCAUGGAUCAUACCAAUUCAAAGAUUGGAACAGAUGCACCACCAAGCAGUACUCCAAACUGGACAAUUAAUCUUUCAGAUGCAAGGAAAAUACUUACUAAAAGUGCACACUAGUCGGUGCUUAUAAGUUCUUUUUAUUCAUAAACUGGGCAUCAGUGUGAAUGGCUAAACCACUAGUUGGUGAUUAUAAGAACUGCUUUUUAUGAAUUGGGUAUCAGUGUGAAUGACUACACUUUUGUCUUCAAAUUCCUAUAUUCGGAUAUGUGUGUCCCCCUUAUGUCACCAAGAUGAUGAGCACAGAAUUUUGGACUUUGUUGAAGUGACUGAGAUUCUGUCUUGCGUGAAUCUAUUAUCUGCUAGUUUAACCAGUUUUGAUUUCUUUAAAUUUUGUUUUGCAAGUGGCAAGAACCACGCCGCAUUCAAAAUUCAGUUAAUGCAAUUUGAAUAUUUCUUUUCCAUAAUCACAUUUUCUUAGUGUUACAUGUACUUAGCUAUUCUUUUACUUUUUUUUCUUUUUUUUUUUUCAUAGGUAAGAACAGUUAAAGUUAGUAAUAUCUCACUAGCUACCUUUGAGAAGGAUAUUAAGGAAUUCUUCUCUUUUUCUGGUGAUAUCCAGUAUGUUGAAAUGCAAAGGGAAACUGAAACAUCUCAGC